rnacentral:rRNA from 1 species
AUUUCCAAGGAAGGCAGCAGGCGCGCAACUUACCCAAUCCCGGCACGGGGAGGUAGUGACGAUAAAUACGGAUGCAGAACUCAACAGAGGCUCUGUAAUUCGAAUGAGUACAAUUCAAAUCCUUUAACGAGGAACAACUGGAGGGCAAGUCUGGUGCCAGCAGCCGCGGUAAUUCCAGCUCCACUAGCGUAUAUUAAAAUUGUUGCGGUUAAAACGUUUGAA